AGAGUUUGAUCCUGGCUCAGGAUGAACGCUGACAGAAUGCUUAACACAUGCAAGUCAACUUGAAUUUGGGUUUUUAACUUAGGUUUGGGUGGCGGACGGGUGAGUAACGCGUAAAGAACUUGCCUCACAGCUAGGGACAACAUUUAGAAAUGAAUGCUAAUACCUAAUAUUAUGAUAAUAGGGCAUCCUAUAAUUAUGAAAGCUAUAUGCGCUGUGAGAGAGCUUUGCGUCCCAUUAGCUAGUUGGAGAGGUAACGGCUCACCAAGGCGAUGAUGGGUAGCCGGCCUGAGAGGGUGAUCGGCCACAAGGGGACUGAGACACGGCCCUUACUCCUACGGGAGGCAGCAGUGGGGAAUAUUGGACAAUGGACCGAGAGUCUGAUCCAGCAAUUCUGUGUGCACGAUGAAGUUUUUCGGAAUGUAAAGUGCUUUCAGUUGGGAAGAAAGAAAUGACGGUACCAACAGAAGAAGUGACGGCUAAAUACGUGCCAGCAGCCGCGGUAAUACGUAUGUCACGAGCGUUAUCCGGAUUUAUUGGGCGUAAAGCGCGUCUAGGUGGUUAUGUAAGUCUGAUGUGAAAAUGCAGGGCUCAACUCUGUAUUGCGUUGGAAACUGUAUAACUAGAGUACUGGAGAGGUAAGCGGAACUACAAGUGUAGAGGUGAAAUUCGUAGAUAUUUGUAGGAAUGCCGAUGGGGAAGCCAGCUUACUGGACAGAUACUGACGCUGAAGCGCGAAAGCGUGGGUAGCAAACAGGAUUAGAUACCCUGGUAGUCCACGCUGUAAACGAUGAUUACUAGGUGUUGGGGGUCGAACCUCAGCGCCCAAGCAAACGCGAUAAGUAAUCCGCCUGGGGAGUACGUACGCAAGUAUGAAACUCAAAGGAAUUGACGGGGACCCGCACAAGCGGUGGAGCAUGUGGUUUAAUUCGACGCAACGCGAGGAACCUUACCAGCGUUUGACAUCUUAGGAAUGAGAUAGAGAUAUUUCAGUGUCCCUUCGGGGAAACCUAAAGACAGGUGGUGCAUGGCUGUCGUCAGCUCGUGUCGUGAGAUGUUGGGUUAAGUCCC
rnacentral:rRNA from 1 species